GGGGCUGCUGUGGCGGCGGCCGCGGGGUUGAGGCGGGUGGGAGCCGGAGCAGUACGCCGGCUGAGGGAGGAGGGCGGCGACUAGAGAGCGGCGAAAGGCGCGGGUGCGGAGCCUCUUUCACUUUUCCCUCCCGAGUGCCCCCCCCACCCCUCCCACUCCACACACACCCUGUUUGCCCGUGAGCCUGGGGAACUUGCAGCUUAAAGCCAGCCACCCCCACAGCAACAUGUACCCCAGCAACAAGAAGAAAAAGGUGUGGAGAGAGGAGAAAGAACGUUUACUGAAGAUGACUGUAGAGGAGAGACGCAAAGAAUACACAAGGGACUAUGUUCCCCUGAACAGCAUCCCAUCUUGGAAAGAAGAGAUGAAGGGCAAGAGCCAAAAUGAUGAGAUGUGAAGUGUUCUGGAUCACUUGAAAGGCCCCAUCAUUUUUGUGAGGAGAUGGAUAUGAUCCUUGAUCUCAAUAUGCCACAUCUGCUAUAAACUUCUGAACCCUCCACCAUCAUUCAGGAUGCAUCUCUAAUGGUUGAAGAAGUGGUGGAGGAGCACAUGGGAGAGAGCCUGAGGAUCCCUGCCUGGGACAAGUUGUGGGAAGAAAGAUCUUGCAGCGUGAGCACUAGGAAAAGAGCUCUUUUUAUCCCAUCUUGUCUUCCAGUCUGUUUUGAAUCAAGAAAGACUUAUUGAAAACUCCUUUGAGAAGAGUCUGUUUUGAAGAAGGAAAAAGAAAUACUGUUGAGAGAAGGCAUACAGACCAGAAGGGUGAUAGAAACAUGUGUUUUUGUUGUGUGUGUUACACCAGCAGAGAAUAUGGAGAGCUGAGAAGGGAGAAAACUAAGAAGUGACUGAAAUUUGUGGGUCCUGAUGGGAAAAUGCUGGCCAUCUACUAAUAUGGGAAGACAGUUGAUGCUUUAGUGCCCGGACUUGUUGACUCUGUUGUGUAUAGUUACCAUAAACUCUUCUCACAUUCACAAUUACCUCUUUGUCCUCUGUGAAUGAUGGCACUCCUGCUUCUAUUUCAGCAGUGCUUCCAAGGAUGAAUGACACUAUAUGGUGUCUGUCCAAACCUAAAAAGUAUAAUCUGUUUAUCACUGGAGCUUUGCAAGGUACCCCUCUUGCAUUUUAAAAUUCUGUAGUGCACACAACCAGUCAUCGUAGGGUUUGGUUUUGUUUUUUUGUUUGUUUAAUCAACAGAUACUGGAUUUUCAAGAUGAAGUAUAAUGAUUCCUAAUCAAAUUGUGGUCAGUUUUCUUCAAUUUAAAUAAAAUAAUAAUAAAAUAAGAGUUUAUUUUUUACACUUAGAUUGUUAUGUGUUUUUUGGUGUG